rnacentral:rRNA from 1 species
UCCAGACUCCUACGGGAGGCAGCAGUGGGGAAUUUUGGACAAUGGGCGCAAGCCUGAUCCAGCUAUUCCGCGUGUGGGAUGACGGCCCUCGGGUUGUAAACCACUUUAGUAGAGAACGAAAAGGAGCUAUCGAAUAAAUAGCUCUGCUGACGGUACUCUAAGAAUAAGCACCGGCUAACUACGUGCCAGCAGCCGCGGUAAUACGGAGGAUGCGAGCGUUAUCCGGAUUUAUUGGGUUUAAAGGGUGCGUAGGCGGGUUAUCAAGUCAGCGGUAAAAUCGUGGAGCUCAACUCCAUCCAGCCGUUGAAACUGAUGAUCUUGAGUGGGCGAGAAGUAUGCGGAAUGCGUGGUGUAGCGGUGAAAUGCAUAGAUAUCACGCAGAACUCCGAUUGCGAAGGCAGCAUACCGGCGCCCGACUGACGCUGAAGCACGAAAGCGUGGGUAUCGAACAGGAUUAGAUACCCCAGUA